ACUUACUUAUCUACCACACUUGGACACAGUUGACUCCCUUUCUUGUGGAGAAUUUUUGUUCACUUGGCAUUGGGGACAGCAUUCUUUUUGUUCUGUUCCCACCUGUCAAACAAUCCAUCAAUCAUCUUGAACUCUUCCCGGAUCCUCUCCUUAAGUAGUUUUCAUUGGAUACAAAUGGAGUCGAGAUACCUUCGAAGGUUUCUUGGUCAGUGCCUUAGUCAGGCUCUUGCAGAUGUGGCCAAAUUUAAGCCAGUAGAUCCAAUAGAAUACUUGGCAUUCUGGCUUUACAAAUACAAGAAAAACAUGGCAACACAACAAUUGAGGCAAAUGGAACUGGCUCAGUUGCAGCAAGAGCAAGAAGCGGCUAGGAUGGAGCAGGAAAUGUUGAAACAACUGAAAGAAGAGGAGCUGUUCUUUCAGCAGCAACAACUGGAGUUGGAAAUGCAAGAAAAAGAGAGGGAGAGACUUGAAGAGUUAGAGAAGCAACGAAUUGAAGCAGAAUUAGAAGACAUGAAAAGAAUGCUCUUAGAAGAGCAAGAGAAGCUUUUUUUAAAAUAUUGUAAUAUUGUAAUUGGAGUCCCAGGAGGAGCAAAUUGGGGAAGAAGAAGACACUAUAUCAGGAACUCCAGUGGAAGGGGAUGCCUUAAACAAGACAUUAGCUGAAAUUAGCGAUAGGUAUGGAGCACCUAAUUUAAGUCGGGUUGAAGAAGUAGAUGAAUCAAAUGUUUUGGAAGGGGCAUUAGAUGAUGAAAAAGAUGACAUAUAGCAAUGAACAUCAGCCGUACACAGUUUUGCUUGUUACAGUUUUCAAUAAAAAAAAAUCAACUUGUGAA